rnacentral:lncRNA from 1 species
GAUGAGGGGCAAUAUUGCAAAUGUGCACGUAAAGAAAAAGCUCAAUUCCAGUGAAACAGUUGUCUGUCGAAAUGUCGACAACUAGCAAUCAAAGGUGAAUAGACGACUGCAAAAAAAAGAAUGGCGGAGAUAUGUCCAACGCAUCGACCUAGAAUAAAAAAGGAAAAGGGCAAUGGCAGAACAUGGGAACAAAAUGCUUCCGGAGCACUAGCAUCCACAGAACAAAAUUCUAUCCCGCCAGCCACUCGAGUCCGCGCCACGAGCUCCAUCCAAAGUCGUGGCGCUACCUGUAAUCCACUCGCUCAUGAUCACCACUUGACAGAAAACCAAAACAACGCACCGCAGCGAGAUAUUCUCUAGUAUCUUUGAGAGCUAACCGAGUAGAUAUUUUCCUCUCUUGAUCACUCUUGGCUAGUCUCCGAAAAAAGCAAAGAUAUUUUUGCCUCCAGCGCGCACAAUCGCGCACCGGCGAACGAACGAGACAAGUGGCUGGAGGCGGUGGAUAAUCCACGGCCACUCUCAGCCAGCCAGCCAGCCAGCGGGGGAGGAGACAACGCCGUGGCGUGGGGUCCCGAUCCAAAACCACUCGGUACUCGGUAUCGUCGUCUGGUUGAGGUCGUUUCUGGGUUUCCAAGGUAUCACGGGCUCCGUCCGACGUGGCGCACUAAUAUCUCCCUCUUGUGUGCAUCGCGGCCCCCGACUGCCUGCCUGCCUUCCGCAUGGGCUGCUGCAAGUUGCGGCAAAUUCAGACGCACCAAUUGGUCGCGAUGGGAUAGAUCAUGUCAUCAUGCGUGGGAAUCCUGUUCUCAAGCCUACCUGAUUUGAGAUCUCACCGAGUGAUCGAUCGGUCGCGAUGGGAUAGUACCCUUCACGUGGCUCGGCGUGGACCUGUCGCUCUGAAUCUCUGAUAAUUUUUCUCAAUUUUCCGUGGCCAUCUGUUUGUGUGAGAAACUGAGCAAGCCGGCCAGACGUGAGAGGAGGGGGUUCAAAAAGGUUUUCAGCUUCCGCCGGUGUCGCCGACGGACGUACGCCAAAGCGACCCGCAACUUCCCACCAUUUCCGGCCAUGUGGACUGCGUUUCUACCGCCGCGUUCGCGUCGAGCACCGUGGAUGACGCUGGACCACACAGGACACGACCGGC